rnacentral:rRNA from 1 species
GUACUCGAGCGGCGAACGGGUGAGUAACACGUGAGUAAUCUGCCUCUGGCUUCGGGAUAGCCACCGGAAACGGUGAUUAAUACCGGAUACGACACAUCACUGCAUGGUGCGUGUGUGGAAAGUUUUUUCGGCCAGGGAUGUGCUCGCGGCCUAUCAGCUUGUUGGUGGGGUAAUGGCCUACCAAGGCUUCGACGGGUAGCCGGCCUGAGAGGGUGACCGGCCACACUGGGACUGAGACACGGCCCAGACUCCUACGGGAGGCAGCAGUGGGGAAUAUUGGACAAUGGGCGGAAGCCUGAUCCAGCAACGCCGCGUGAGGGAUGACGGCCUUCGGGUUGUAAACCUCUUUCAGCACAGACGAAGCGCAAGUGACGGUAUGUGCAGAAGAAGGACCGGCCAACUACGUGCCAGCAGCCGCGGUAAUACGUAGGGUCCGAGCGUUGUCCGGAAUUAUUGGGCGUAAGGGGCUCGUAGGCGGUUUGUCGCGUCGGGAGUGAAAACACCGGGCUUAACUCGGUGCUUGCUUUCGAUACGGGCAGACUAGAGGCAUUCAGGGGAGAACGGAAUUCCUGGUGUAGCGGUGAAAUGCGCAGAUAUCAGGAGGAACACCGGUGGCGAAGGCGGUUCUCUGGGAAU